AAUCGGAAUUACUGGGCGUAAGCGCACGCAGGCGGUUUGUUAAGCUAGAUGUGAAAGCCCCGGGCUCAACCUGGGAUGGUCAUUUAGAACUGGCAGACUAGAGUCUUGGAGAGGGGAGUGGAAUUCCAGGUGUAGCGGUGAAAUGCGUAGAUAUCUGGAGGAACAUCAGUGGCGAAGGCGACUCCCUGGCCAAAGACUGACGCUCAUGUGCGAAAGUGUGGGUAGCGAACAGGAUUAGAUACCCUGGUAGUCCACACCGUAAACGCUGUCUACUAGCUGUGUGUGCCUUUAAGGCGUGCGUAGCGAAGCUAACGCGAUAAGUAGACCGCCUGGGGAGUACGGCCGCAAGGUUAAAACUCA
rnacentral:rRNA from 1 species